UUACGGAUGGAAAGGGAUAUUAUGAUAAACAAGUAAAACUAUCUAAGAUUCAAUAUUAUUCCAUUUUGUUUCAAGUUAAAUUGUAUAACUGUACCAAUUACGACUACUUUGUAUAGGUACAAUCUACUAAGUGAUUUCAAAGAAAAAUUUCAUAACAAGUAAAAAUAAAUAAAUACAAACAAAUGAAAAUUUCAAAACAUGCAUCACUGACUAAGUGAAUAAUACCUUAUUAUUAAAAUGUCCUAACUGCAGGAUGUCUCUAAAAUAACUUUUUUUUUUGUCGUUUGGUAGGAAAAAACUCUGCAUUUUUAUGAAAAUCACACCAUAUCUAAGCGACAUAAAACACGUCACAGAGUGAUGAAACCUAUACUAAAUGACGCAGAAAAAUCAGACGAUUCCAAUGGUGUACCUAUCUAACUCAUUUUACCUACUUUUGUCGCUUAGUCAGGAUUGCCUUUCAAGCGUCGAUAUGAUUGCAAUAGCGGCAUUACGAGCAAAGGGGAAUGCCCAUUUCAGGCCCAAAGCGGACAAUAGAUUAGAGAAAAAAUCCUUGGUGCAUUAAUUUUGUCAUAAAUAAAUAUGCAUUUACUUUCUUCCAAAUAAGCGCCACUACAGUUUAAAAUAAGUAGUAUCGGCUUAUCCGUAUCUUUUGAUCUAAAGGAAGACGUAGUCGGCGUUGGUGUUGUUAUUGACAAAGGCGACGAAGAUGACUCGUGUCUAGCACUUUCUUUGUUAAUUUCAAUUAUCGUCAAUUCAAUUACCCUUUUUUUGGACGCUUCGGCUGCCGUUUUAUCAAAAAAAAUGCCAUUUUGAAACGCGGGUCGAGAAAUGUACCUAUCCCGAAAGUUCCGCUCAUCUCUAAAUUAUUCAGUCUUGUGGUUAAGCCGCGUAAAAUCCUGUUACUAACGGCUAUAGCAUCAGAAUGUAAUGAUUCACUGUGUGAUAUUUUUUCAGCAUAUACAUUACGUAAUAAUCUGUUAAAAAUUAUAACAAGGCUGCCUUUAAGAUAUUUUUCUGCACUAAUCUGGACAGUCACUUGUUCGAGUGGUUUUAAAACAGUACACAAAUCUUUACAGAGCCUCCAUUCUUCGGCAUUUAUACUUUCAAUAAAAGAUGUACUAGCGGAAUCCAAACUGCUAAAGUACUUGUUAGUGCUUCUUUUAAUAAUAAAGCUCUUUCAAUCAUAUAGAAGGUGGAAUUCCACCUGGUCGCGACGUCUAUUAUCAUUCUUUUACAUACAUAUUAAAUAUAAUAUGAAUUAUGGCGUGUAAAUAGCUGCACCGUGUGUGCGAUUGGGAAAUGAGUCAAAAUUAUGUAGGUAUAUGAUGUGAUGCGCCCGUACUAGGCACAUUAACUGGCUCGGUAAAGUUGAAAAAACACAAUUCGAAUCACAGAACACAAUAUACAAAACUGGCGUCACUUGAUGAUCUCAAAGUCCUCGUCCUCGUCCAGCGGUAGGGCUCCUUAAUGGUCUCUCAGCGACGAACGGGAGCCGAGCACUUCACAAUAUUGAUUGAAAGUCCUGGUAUGAUGCGAUAGCGGUAGGAAUAGUGUUUUUUUUUAAAUAUUUUAAAUUUUGUAAAAUUUAUUCGUGUGUUGCACGUAGUACCUACUAAAAGAAGCGGGAAAGCGAAUAUGGCCUGUGGCGUGCGGGAGUUCCAAAUUUAAAACUAUAUUUUUUCAUAAUCCAUUUCCGUAUUUCCUUCGCCUUCAAGGAGGUUUCAUUCGACUCCAAAGAGACGGCGUCACGAGCGUGUAAACUUUACAUUCACAAACGUCCAUCCAGCAACACCAAAGAUCGUCAGGACCAAACAGAGUAACGAACGAAUGUUACAAUUUAUUUUUUAUCGUUUACUUAUAGAUUAAUAAAACCAAUCGAAGACUGUGCCUGUUCAAUUUAUUACAGCAAUACAUACUUGUUCUUUGUUUCCAACCUUAUCCCACUAGGUUGGGUCGGCACAGCGAAUUUUUCUUUUCUAUUCGCCUCUAUCAGCCGUCAUCUCAACACUCACUCCGCUUUCUCUCAUAUCAUCAUUCACACACUCCUUCCAUGUCUUCCUCGGAUCAUCUCUUCCCCUGCAUUGCGUACAUCUCCUAGUGCCAUGCAUGUCCUCUCUACGCAACACAUGUACUAUAGAAACGUGACGAUGACGUGUUCAAACAUCUGUACAAUAAACAAAAUCUGACAUUCUUGAACGUUCUGGAACAAGUCUCGAAGGCGACCGGCGGCUUCGAAUCAUUCUCCCAAAUUCUCGCAGGAAAGUGCACAAGGUCGUGAUCACGUACACUCAGUAAAGCAAUAACAAACACGACAACAAUGACUUAUGCAAAUAACCAAACACUACGCUGGCGGCUGUACGUGACAGGCGCGAGUGGUAGAUGGUGACGGUAGGACGGUAAGCAGCGAGCAGACGUCUGUAAGAACCAGCCGCGUGACAACUGUCGCUUGUCGCAACAACCCGCGCGCGUGGUCCCUGCCCCCCCCCGCGCAUACAGUGGCCCCGUCAGCACACGUCUCACCCCGCCACACGCGCUAAAUAACAAUAUUGUUAAUCCAGUGUUCAAUAGUUACAAAUACAAUUGUAUCUUUAGUUUCUUAUUCGCCACACAACAAGUUCUGUAACGUAGCUUGUAAAUAAGGAAAACUUUUUUAUUUUAAAAAAAUAUUUUGAAGAACGGUCUAGCUAAUAACAGAAUAUAUUAAUAAAAAAAUACCUUUUAUUUUCUAGUCAAAUAUGUUAGACUUUCGUUUGUAUUCCCGUGUUAUUCUUUGAAAACAGAAAAUGUUUAUGGACUCUUUUGACGGCACCUUCAUGGGAAACUAUUCGAACCUCGACGAAGGCUUAAAUCGAAUUUAAAUUUAAAUUUAAAAAAAGUUGUAAGCGUCGCAUCGUCUUUUUUUUCACUUCUUAUUUUAGCGUCGCAUUCGUUACUUAAUAAAUUUAUUAAUUUUUAUUUUAUAUUUAUCUAACGCAACAUCUUAAGUAUUAAGUCUAGUUUUCAUGAACAUAAGCGCGUUGCUUUUUAAUUUUAAUAUAAAAACAACUAAUAAUAAUACUUAUCAAGUAAUGCUUCUAUCAUUGUUACUGCUUCAUUAAUAUAAAUAUGUGCCGCAAUAAUUAAGAGCUCAUCGAAGUAACUUUCCCCGGACUACGAGCUGGAAACCACGGCAACAGGCCCCAGCACCGACUUGAACAAAACAAAAUGAGAACAUCAUCAAUGCAGUCGAAGUCAGUCAAAUAUGCGCUGUUGAGGUUAACUCAAAGACAACUGGUCGGAGCUUGAUAAAUAGAUGGAACCGCGCGAGAAGUACCACCAGCUCUUGAAUAUAAGAAGAAACAUUAGGAUUAGUACGCGUCAAGAAUAAUUCUGAGAUUUUAGGCGCGAGUUGGAUCACAUUCCGGAGGCUGCCUUCUACAUGGUGGGCACCAUAGAGGACGUGAUCGCCAAGUCGCAGGAACUGGCCGAAAGCGUGUAGAGUCGAACUGUUUUAUAAGUUAUUUUAUUCGAAUAAAGAUGUUGUAUUU